GGAGAGCUAACGUACUUUGUGAGUGUGUGCAAGAGACCAUUAGAAGGCAUAUUAGGAUGAUAUUGGACACUAUGUCACAACACAAGAGGAUUGAUGUCACAAAAUAGGGAACAAAAUGAAGAAAACUCAAGUCUACUUUCGACGUCGUAACACGGACUGAGGGUGUCGCGACAUACCCCUAAAGAUGGCCACAGGGGAGCAUACUGGUUGCUAUGUCAUGACACAGGUCUUGGUGUAUCACGACAUCAACUUUGGGACAAAAACUAGACACGAAGUAGGGGCAUUUUGGUCUGCACAAUAAAACCUAAAGCUCGUGAGCAUUAGCUAACCCAGGGUUAAGG
rnacentral:lncRNA from 1 species